UACGAAGGGGGCUAGCGUUGCUCGGAUUGACUGGGCGUAAAGCGCGCGUAGGCGGAUCUGCAAGUCGGGGGUGAAAUCCCGAGGCUCAACCCUCGGGAACUGCCUUCGAUACUGCGGGUCUCGAGUCCGGGAGAGGUGAGUGGGAAUUCCUAGUGUAGAGGUGAAAUUCGUAGAUAUUAGGAAGAACACCGGGUGGCGAAGGCGGUUCUCUGGGCCUGACCUGGACGCUGAGACGCGAAAGCGUGGGGAGCGAACAGG
rnacentral:rRNA from 1 species